rnacentral:precursor_RNA from 9 species
GAGAGAGAGAGAGGGGUGCAGUUUUCAACGAGAUAUGUUUGUAAUAUUUGGUGGUGAAUCUGAUAGUCACCAAAUAGACAACAUAUCAUGUGGAAAACUGUGAUACAACAGUGGAAUAGA